UGAACGCUGGCGGCGUGCUUAACACAUGCAAGUCGAACGGAGUUUUAACGGAAGUUUCGGAUGGAAGUUUAGAACUUAGUGGGGCGGACGGGUGAGUAACGGCGUGGGUAACCUGCCUCAUACAGGGGGAUAACAGUUAGAAAUGACUGCUAACACCGCAUAAUAUAGCGAAACCGCAUGAUUUUGCUAUCAAAUAUUUAUAGGUAUGAGAUGGGCCCGCGUCUGAUUAGCUAGUUGGUGGGGUAAAAGCCUACCAAGGCGACGAUCAGUAGCCGGCUUGAGAGAGUGACCGGCCACAUUGGGACUGAGACACGGCCCAAACUCCUACGGGAGGCAGCAGUGGGGAAUAUUGGACAAUGGGGGAGACCCUGAUCCAGCGAACCGCCGCGUGAGUGAAGAAGUAUUUCGGUAUGUAAAGCUCUAUCAGCAGGGAAGAUAAUGACAGUACCUGACUAAGAAGCCCCGGCUAACUACGUGCCAGCAGCCGC
rnacentral:rRNA from 1 species